AUUUGGCUUCAUGAAUAAUAAAAUUUCCCGGCCAGGCACAGUGGUGACAGAGCAAGACCCUCUCUCAACAGAAAAUAAAUAAAAUAAGAAGUACAGUUCAGUGGUUUUCAAGUACAUUCACAGAAUUCUGUAAUCAUCAUCACAGUUGAAUUUUAGAAAUUAUAAUUAUCCCCCAAAGAAACCUUGUGUACUUUCACAGUCACUUUCCAUUUCACCUGCUCUUCACUUCCAACCCAAGCCAUUGGCAACCAUUAAUCUACUUUUCAUAUGUAUACAUUAGCCUAUUCUAGACAUUUCAUAUACAUGGAGUCAUAUAAUAUACAGCCUUUUGUGACUGGCUCCUUUCACUUAACAUAAUGUUUUCAAGGCC
rnacentral:lncRNA from 1 species